AAAAUGUUGAGAACUUUCACUGUUAGGGAAACUAAUAUAAUAUUGGGAUGAACGUGAUCAAAUGGAGUGAUAUGGUAUAUGGAUAUUGAGGAUUCACAUAACCGAUCCGAACUUGCUUUAUAAUUGUUGUUUUCAUGUAACUCUUCACAAAAGGCACGAUUGUACUGCCCGAAGAGCGAUAUAGCCUUAUGUAUAUCAUUACAUGUAACUUUAGUUGCUCAAGACUUGUUCAAGGAUUUUAGCCCCCACCGCCACCUCAAUAUUUUAUGUGCGGAUACUCGAACUGUAGAUAAUAGUGAUUCAUAAUUAGAAAGUAGUUUGUGUUUUUUCACUAUUAGGUAAAGUAAGAUUUCAUUCAGUAUGCAUCUCCUGGACGCAUUUGAGUACACCAAAAGAAGUUUGCUCCUGGACAUUCUUUUGACUUUUAUCUAAAUACUCACAGAGCUAACAAAAUCCAAAAACAAAAGGAAGUUAAUUAUGUUGCAAAGAUUACACCAAGUAAAAAGAUUGAUUAAGCAUGCACUUUAGAACAUGUACUGGAGUUGCAGAUUAGGUUAUACAGUAGCUUCAUGAGUUGUCAAAUUCAAUAUUCUUACCUCUGUGAAAAGUUAUUGGAAUGAGAUCUCAUGCUAUUUUUCGUAUUGCGUUUUUCGCAUACAUUCUUUUUCAAUGAUGCUAAGUGUAUAGGUUAACUUAGAGCCCUUUUAGAGAUCACACGGAUCUAAUUUGUGCACACUAUGAUGUUUCUAGCCGAGUUAUUAGCUUCUGGAACUUUACAAAUGCUUAAACUAAUAGCUGCUUCUGUUAAUGAAAUUUACUUACUUAAAAAGACAAAUGGCUGCUUCCGCAAAUGUAUUACAACUAUGUUUCAAGGUUUCCAUAUCUGAGCUUCUAAUGUUUGCGGGACAUCACAUUUCUGUCAUUCUCUCUUUUAGACUUUCUUCAAGGAUUACAUGGGAGUUCCAUUGGUGAUGGAGCCAAACUUCACUGAUUAUAGCUGUCAGUUUAAAUUCGGGAUUCUACCUCCUCAGCCAGAAGAUGACAACACUCUUAAAGAGCCAUGCUUGGAGAUAUGCCCCAACGCUGUUCGUCGAAAAGAAAUGAACCAUAACAUGGAUGCACACAAGUGUCCGAAAGCAUGAAUUUUUAUUUUUUUGGUUGUCCUGCUAUUCUAAUAUCUUGAGUACAUAGUUUGUCUUCCACAACACUACAGCAAAAGUAGCGUCUGCCUCCAGUUUGGUGUAACUACUUGUAAGAGAGAAAUUUAAGAACAGAAGGAUAACUUUUUAAGGACCAACAGCAAAAUUCAUUCUAUGCAUAAAACUCUAGAAUAUAAUGCACAUAGCAACUGCAAUUGUAACUGAAGUGGAUAUUCUGGAGAGGGAAAAAAACCUUUUUUUUGUUGA